rnacentral:rRNA from 1 species
CCGACUAAUGUUGAAAAAUUAGCGGAUGACCUGUGGCUGGGGGUGAAAGGCCAAUCAAACCGGGAGAUAGCUGGUUCUCCCCGAAAGCUAUUUAGGUAGCGCCUCGUGAAUUCAUCUCCGGGGGUAGAGCACUGUUUCGGCUAGGGGGCCAUCCCGGCUUACCAACCCGAUGCAAACUGCGAAUACCGGAGAAUGUUAUCACGGGAGACACACGGCGGGUGCUAACGUCCGUCGUGAAGAGGGAAACAACCCAGACCGCCAGCUAAGGUCCCAAAGUCAUGGUUAAGUGGGAAACGAUGUGGGAAGGCCCAGACAGCCAGGAUGUUGGCUUAGAAGCAGCCAUCAUUUAAAGAAAGCGUAAUAGCUCACUGGUCGAGUCGGCCUGCGCGGAAGAUGUAACGGGGCUAAACCAUGCACCGAAGCUGCGGCAGCGACGCUGAUGCGUUGUUGGGUAGGGGAGCGUUCUGUAAGCCUGUGAAGGUGGCCUGUGAGGGUUGCUGGAGGUAUCAGAAGUGCGAAUGCUGACAUAAGUAACGAUAAAGCGGGUGAAAAGCCCGCUCGCCGGAAGACCAAGGGUUCCUGUCCAACGUUAAUCGGGGCAGGGUGAGUCGACCCCUAAGGCGAGGCCGAAAGGCGUAGUCGAUGGGAAACGGGUUAAUAUUCCCGUACUUGGUGUUACUGCGAAGGGGGGACGGAGAAGGCUAUGUUGGCCGGGCGACGGUU